UGGCGGCAGGCCUAACACAUGCAAGUCGAACGGUAACAGGAAGCAGCUUGCUGCUUCGCUGACGAGUGGCGGACGGGUGAGUAAUGUCUGGGAAACUGCCUGAUGGAGGGGGAUAACUACUGGAAACGGUAGCUAAUACCGCAUAAUGUCGCAAGACCAAAGAGGGGGACCUUCGGGCCUCUUGCCAUCAGAUGUGCCCAGAUGGGAUUAGCUAGUAGGUGGGGUAACGGCUCACCUAGGCGACGAUCCCUAGCUGGUCUGAGAGGAUGACCAGCCACACUGGAACUGAGACACGGUCCAGACUCCUACGGGAGGCAGCAGUGGGGAAUAUUGCACAAUGGGCGCAAGCCUGAUGCAGCCAUGCCGCGUGUAUGAAGAAGGCCUUCGGGUUGUAAAGUACUUUCAGCGGGGAGGAAGGCGAUGCGGUUAAUAACCGCGUCGAUUGACGUUACCCGCAGAAGAAGCACCGGCUAACUCCGUGCCAGCAGCCGCGG
rnacentral:rRNA from 1 species